rnacentral:rRNA from 1 species
AUUGAACGCUGGCGGCAGGCCUAACACAUGCAAGUCGAACGGUAGCACAGAGAGCUUGCUCUCGGGUGACGAGUGGCGGACGGGUGAGUAAUGUCUGGGAAACUGCCCGAUGGAGGGGGAUAACUACUGGAAACGGUAGCUAAUACCGCAUAACGUCGCAAGACCAAAGUGGGGGACCUUCGGGCCUCACACCAUCGGAUGUGCCCAGAUGGGAUUAGCUAGUAGGUGGGGUAAUGGCUCACCUAGGCGACGAUCCCUAGCUGGUCUGAGAGGAUGGCCAGCCACACUGGAACUGGGACACGGUCCAGACUCCUACGGGAGGCAGCAGUGGGGAAUAUUGCACAAUGGGCGCAAGCCUGAUGCAGCCAUGCCGCGUGUAUGAAGAAGGCCUUCGGGUUGUAAAGUACUUUCAGCGGGGAGGAAGGCGGUGAAGUUAAUAGCUUCACCGAUUGACGUUACCCGCAGAAGAAGCACCGGCUAACUCCGUGCCAGCCGCCGCAGUAA